GUUCCGAGUUUUUAAAAGUCACUGUAGCGAAAGGAACAAAAUGGUCCAACCCAGCACAGGUAUAAAAGGAAAGAUGCAACAUAUGUUAGGGUUUGUUUUGUGCUCUCCAAACGGCAAUUUCGGAGGCGAUUCCUGUGCUGCAAAUCGACGACGUUUUCCUACACAGUGCAUAGGGUCGGGCUUCAAAUUGGCCUUCUGUCACUUCGGCGAGUUCUUUGGCUGACGUCUUCUACAAAUUGACGACCCUAUUUCAUGAUUAAGCUUGAAAUCGACGACUGUGUAUGAAGAUCUGAAGAGCUUUCUCUUCAUCGCGUCUCUCUCCACUCUCGGAUUCUCUUCUCUCUUUCUUCGGCCGAUUUACGCCAACGAGAAACGUCGGUAGCCGUCUGCAACUUCCAGCUAGCUCCAGUCUUCUUCUCCGGCGACGGUUUGGCAAGAAAAUUUCCAGAAUCUCCCCAACCUCUCUAACUCUAUUUCCUCAUCUCUCUCAUCUCGGGUAUGUUGAGUUAUUUUAUAAUUUUGUUUUUAAUUUUUUUUGAGAGAAUUUUGAUUUGGGCACAGGCAGUAUAAUCAAUAUAAUUUUGUUUUUAAUUUUUUUGAGAAAUUUUUUAAUUAAUGUAUGCAUGUUUGAAAUCGGUAUUUGAAAUCAAUUCAAUAAAAAGAGUUUUGCAAAAAUCUGCUUGUUAUCUAUCAUCCAUGUUGUUUCUAUAUAUAGUAUAAAUGCAAUAGUUAAAAUUUUUGAAACACAAAUGGAAUGUUUAGAGAGAGAGAGCAACACGAAUAUUUUGUAUCUGAUUUGCAUGUUUACAAUUUUGAUUAAUGUAUGGGAACAAUGAUGAAUGUAUAACAAGCCUUGCUAUAUAUAAUUCUCUGUGGAAUACUGUGUGCAUCUGAAAAAUCUUGAGUUGUAAAUUUUAUUUCAUGGUAAGGUCUUAGAUACUAUGUGGAAUUUGCCAAAUUAACAUGCAAAAUAUAUUAAUUAUGUUCCUACAAAAUAUAUUAAUUAUGUUUUGAUAAAUUUAGGCUGUAAAUUGAGCUUUAAAUAAUUGAUUGAUUUAAAUAACUAAUCAAUAAUCACAUAUAUCAGUAAUCAGUCACAGAGAAAGUGCAUUAUCUUUCAUAAAUAUAAUCAAGCAAUAUACAAAGUUAAUAUAUGAGGUAUUUGGCCAGAUUUAUAUAGCAUUAUUUUCUAUGGAAUGAGAGCAGUUCCAUGGGUGAUAAUGUAUGAGGUUUUUGAAUAACCUUUAAAUUCCUCAUUUCUAUGUACUUCUUUAUGACAUUUGACUAUAGAUCUAAUAUUUUUCGUGGCUUAAUUAAUAAGUGCAUUUCAUUAUAGUUAUUAAUAAGUGCAUUUCAUUAUAGUUAUCUUGCAAAGUAGUACCUGAAGCCAAAGGAAAAACAUUAGAAGAAAUUUAGGCAUCCAUCAAUACAUUCUCAGCAUCAACUGCUUUUUUUGGUCUUUUCUUUUUGUCUUUUGUAAGUUCACUAAUGCAAGUGUGUUAUUCUAUAUAUUUGUUGCUCUUUGGAGUGGAAUGCACUUGUUUGGAGUGGAUUGCACUUGUGCUUCUAUAUUGAAGUUUUCCAACGCCAACGAUGAUGUUGUUGACAAAUAUUGGAAAUGAGUGGACAUUUGUUUCCUUCAGUAACUGGACUUAAAAGAGAUCGGACAACUUUGAAUUUUUUUCAGUUUGCCACUUGUAAUAAAUAGUUAAUUCAAGAUCUAUGUAUAGAGAGAUGUGACAACUUUGUGUACAAUUUUAAUAUUGGUUGGAUUGUUAAUUAUAGACAAUUUGUAUAUUCAAGUAUGAAAUGAAUUUGAAUUGGUAGAUGGUUCAUUAUACACA